GAUGAACGCUGGCGGCGUGCCUAAUACAUGCAAGUCGAGCGAACAGACGAGGAGCUUGCUCCUCUGACGUUAGCGGCGGACGGGUGAGUAACACGUGGAUAACCUACCUAUAAGACUGGGAUAACUUCGGGAAACCGGAGCUAAUACCGGAUAAUAUAUUGAACCGCAUGGUUCAAUAGUGAAAGACGGUUUUGCUGUCACUUAUAGAUGGAUCCGCGCCGCAUUAGCUAGUUGGUAAGGUAACGGCUUACCAAGGCGACGAUGCGUAGCCGACCUGAGAGAUUGUUCGGCCACACUGGAACUGGGACACGGUCCAGACUCCUACGGGAGGCAGCAGUAGGGAAUCUUCCGCAAUGGGCGAAAGCCUGACGGAGCAACGCCGCAUGAGUGAUGAAGGUCUUCGGAUCGUAAAACUCUGUUAUUAGGGAAGAACAAAUGUGUAAGUAACUAUGCACGUCUUGACGGUACCUAAUCAGAAAGCCACGGCUAACUACGUG
rnacentral:rRNA from 1 species